rnacentral:lncRNA from 1 species
AUGUCCCACAGCUGGUUCAGUGGCAGAGCCAAGAUAUUCCAACGCUGUCCUCAGCCCUUCUGGGGGAGUCAAGAAGACCCUGAGCUAGAAGGAUGCAGGGGAAGUGCGUGUCGGCUGUGGAAAUGUCACGACAUCAAGAGCUGGGUGGACAAAGCUGCACAUGCCAGCUCCACUGCUGCAGGCCCCCACAGCGCUUCAGUGUGAUGGCCUCACCCCUGUGAGGGUAAAGAAAGUACUGGGAACCCAGAAAAUCUGCCUUGGGGGGAGACAGCUGUGUCUGCCUUCGCCCAGUGGGGAUCCUAGAAAGGAAAAGAUGCAUGUCCUUUAGUGUGAUCCCCCGCCAUUCUCUUAGAAGUGGCCCACUCUUCUUGGCUUCCUGAUGGUGAGUUGUUGGCCUGAGGUGAAGAAGAAGCAGUGAAAUGGCAGGAAAGAGGGUCCCAGUCCUGGAGCUGCCUCUGAUUAGCUGUGUGAUCAGAGCAGCUCCUCUUCUAUGUUUUAGCCUCUGGCUUCUCACCCAGAAACCAGAGGAAUAUAUUAGGUGGCCUUUGUAUUUAUAUAUUUAGUGAUCUGUCAGAUCCCCUUUGCAUUAGAUGGACUUAUGUAUUAGCUCACUGUUCAGAGCUCCAGUAGGUGUAACAAUGGAGUCUGAGCUUUUCCUCUAGGGAAGCAGUCAAAGUACUGACUGGUUCAACAGGCUCUGAAAAGUGUCAGAGGAGCCUUGUUUAGAAACACACAUUCCUCACCCUACAAAGAGGCUGGAAAUGUGACUUUCUCCCUUGAGUAGCAACAGACAGAGCCUCUUGGAGUGCAGCAGCCAGCCGGGCCCAAGGCAAGCUGAGAGACUCUUCCCUGCUACAAAUCUGCUUCCAACUGGGUCCAGGUUCUCUUGCAGAGGCAGAGGCUGAAGCUAACAGGUACUCUCCCUAUCCAUGGGGAGGGUCAGGGUCCUUUCAGCCUCACCUUAAAUACACAGAACACUGCAACUCUUAGUUGCUGGGGGGGCACCGUUCAGGAAUUUUCUAGGCACUAACUUUCAGCUGCUUAAGCUGGAUAUUAGCAGUUAAAUUGCUGGGUGUUCUCAUAGUGUGCUAUUUACUCUACGGGGCUUUAUCUGUGUCUAUAAACUAUCCACUUGAUUUUCCUACCAACUUCAUUGUGGGAUAAUUGCAAUAAAAAUAAAGUGUGCCAAAGUCUAAAUCUCAUCUAUUAAAUGAGAGGAGAGAGAAGAGCUGAAUUUCUGAGCUAAAACAUGUUUACUCAGAUAUAGAACGAGCCUAAAACAAUUUUUAAUAUCAAAAUCAAAACGAGAAAAAAUCAAAACCAAUAAAUUUUGUACAACUGAUAGCCUGUAACUGCAUAAAAUCUUAUGGUGAAAGUUUCAUAAUGUUUCCUUAUUUAUUUACCAUCUUAGCUUAUAUUUACAUCACAAUCUAUGGAAUGGGGACACUGGAAUUUAUCUAAAACUACUAUCAUGUGGUAAAAACAGUUUUCCAUCUACUUGGUCUGUGAAUUCUCAGCUUCUAAACUUUUAUAUGCAAAUCAUAUAAAAUUCUGUGUCACGCAUAUUUUUCUUUUUCCCAGA